rnacentral:rRNA from 1 species
AAAUGUGGCAAAAUGUCCUUGGCAAAACCUGAUCCUGUCAGAUUUAAGAAGCUAAGAAGAGCCGGCUUGGUUAGUAUUUGGAUGGGAGAACACUGGGAAUACAAAGGCGCUACAGUGG